CCGAAGAGUUUUUACAUUGGAUCUUUUCUUGUUAUAGCAUUUCUGAGUCCAAUGCAAUGCUUCAUCAAAUUAACUGAGUGAAUAGGAAUUUCAGAAGGUCAUUAAAUGUCUAUUGUUACACAGUAUUAUACAGACAGUGUUUAUCUCCUGAUUUAAAUAUGGAUUUUCCUUUGGGUAAGCUCAGUUUAUAAUAGUCACAGUGUCUAAAUUAUUUUUUUUUUUUACUUACAGUUCAAAACCUGUUCAAGAAGAAAUAUUUUCAACAUGAAAGGCAUCUUUUUUAUUUGCGUUCUUACUAUGACAUUGUCCAGGAGGUCAAUUACUGUUAUUAUGUACAAACACAUUUAAUAUUGUAUUAAGAUAUAUUCAGGUCUUCUGAACUUUAUCUAGAAGAACAAGUAGCUCCACUAUUUAACAGACUUAGGCUUUGAAAAUGGGGUUUAAUAUCUCAUGACAUCUAAUACCUACAGAUCAGCCUUUCAAGAAAACGAUACCAGGAAUUUUGCAGAGCACCUGUUUUCAGGCAGACUAUUUGUUUCCAAGACAGCAUAAAUCACCAAGUGUCACUGAGAAAGUGAGGAGAAAAACAGAAAGGAGCACCAGGGAGAGCACUGCAAGAGCUCUUCCAAAGCAUGCAAAGCUUUCUAUGAAUUGUGAAAUUAAGAUGACAGUGUUACAGAAAUGGAGGAAACAUGGAACAUUUGAAGGCCCACUGACUGCAUAUGAGAAGAUAGCAGAGAAAAGCAGCAACCAUCAUAUGCCUUAA
rnacentral:lncRNA from 1 species